CCUACGGGGUGCUGCAGUGGGGGAUAUUGCACAAUGGGGGAAACCCUGAUGCAGCGACGCCGCGUGUGGGAAGACGGUCUUCUGGAUUGUAAACCACUGUCCCCAGGGACGAAAAUGACGGUACCUGGGGAGGAAGCUCCGGCUAACUACGUGCCAGCAGCCGCGGUAAGACGUAGGGAGCAAGCGUUGUCCGGAAUUACUGGGUGUAAAGGGAGCGUAGGCGGGGAUGCAAGUUGGGUGUCAAAACUACCGGCUCAACCGAUAGUCGCACUCAAAACUGCAGCUCUUGAGUGAAGUAGAGGCAGGCGGAAUUCCUAGUGUAGCGGUGAAAUGCGUAGAUAUUAGGAGGAACACCAGUGGCGAAGGCGGCCUGCUGGGCUUUGACUGACGCUGAGGCUCGAAAGUGUGGGGAGCAAACAGGAUUAGAUACCCCUGUAGUC
rnacentral:rRNA from 1 species